rnacentral:rRNA from 1 species
AACGAACGCUGGCGGCAGGCUUAACACAUGCAAGUCGAACGCAUCCUUCGGGGUGAGUGGCAGACGGGUGAGUAACGCGUGGGAACGUGCCCUUCAGUUCGGGAUAACCCAGGGAAACUUGGGCUAAUACCGGAUACGUGCGAGAGCAGAAAGAUUUAUCGCUGAAGGAUCGGCCCGCGUCUGAUUAGCUAGUUGGUGGGGUAAUGGCCCACCAAGGCGACGAUCAGUAGCUGGUCUGAGAGGAUGAUCAGCCACAUUGGGACUGAGACACGGCCCAAACUCCUACGGGAGGCAGCAGUGGGGAAGAUUGGACAAUGGGCGCGAGCCUGUUCCAGCCAUGCCGCGUGAGUGAUGAAGGCCUUAGGGUUGUAAAGCUCUUUCGUCCGGGACGAUAAUGACGGUACCGGAAGAAGAAGCCCCGGCUAACUUCGUGCCAGCCGCCGCGGUAA